rnacentral:rRNA from 1 species
UUUGACCUCAAAUCAGGUAGGACUACCCGCUGAACUUAAGCAUAUCAAUAAGCGGAGGAAAAGAAACUAACAAGGAUUCCCCUAGUAACUGCGAGUGAAGCGGGAAAAGCUCAAAUUUAAAAUCUGGUAGCUUUCGCUGCCCGAGUUGUAAUCUAGAGAAGCAUUGUCAGUGCUGGCGCGUGUAUAAGUGUCCUGGAAUGGACCAUCAUAGAGGGUGAAAAUCCCGUCCUUGACACGCUGCUUUAGUGCGUUCAGAUGUGCUCUCAAAGAGUCGGGUUGUUUGGGAAUGCAACUCUAAAUGGGUGGUAAGUUCCAUCUAAAGCUAAAUAUUGGCGAGAGACCGAUAGCGAACAAGUACCGUGAGGGAAAGAUGAAAAGAACUUUGGAAAGAGGGUUAAACAGUACGUGAAAUUGCUGAAAGGGAAACGCUUGAAGUCAGUCGCGUCGGCUGGGAAUCAACCAUUGCAAUCCUUUGCUUGGUUUACUUCUCGCUUGACGGGUCAGCAUCAGUUUCGAUCAGUGGACAAAGG